UACCAUUGGAAAGCGCCAGCACUGAGGCUGCCCGACAUGGAGCCCAGUGGACGAGGUGGAGGUUUAUCGAAGCAUUCGGCGGAUACCUCCCGGCAGCAGUAUCACUGCCGCAGAGCGCAGGGACAAAACAUCAGGGUGAUCUGAUGGACAAAACCUUGUGUGUGAUACGUU
rfam:Brevibacillus brevis NBRC 100599 DNA, complete genome.